CUCAGUGCUCUGCUAGGGCAUCGGCUUAUGGGCAAUGGAGUUCUCUCAGUUGAUAUAAAUGCACCGCGCAAGCUGCGUGCUUAUGCUCACUUCAGCAAGCGACACAAAGGUGUCAUACUCCUCCUGUUCAACCUAAGCAGCAGCACUGGGUACAACGCGACCCUCUAGAACGACCUCAAGUCCUCAACCUGAACUUCAAAAAAAUAAGCGGCCACUAGAGGCGCAGCGGCGGCCUCAGAAGAGCGGUGUCAUGGCUGGGAAGCAAGCCGUUGAGUGAGAGCACGAAGAGGAAUGAGUACCAUCUAAACGCCAAGGGCGGCGACCACCAGAGUAGGACGAUGCUGCUGAAUGGCGUCCAGCUGGAGUUGGCAGGCGAUGGCUGCGUCCCGGUCCUGAACCUCGUGCCGUCCGCGUGGAUUCGACCGUGCACCUGGCCCCGACGUCAAUUGCGUUUGUGGUCCUACCGAGGUUCGAGGCCAAGGCCUGUUCUCAAGGGAAGAAGGUUCUUUUGUUCGUUUUGUGGUGUAAGGUAGAAUCAUAUACAUGAGGAAAAUAAGCAGAAGGACAUCACAAGGGCAUUUUUACUUAUACUGAA